rnacentral:ncRNA from 1 species
GAAUUUUUGAUUAACGCCUGCUGAAAAAGCAGGCCAUUAGGAAG